GUUAGGAUAGAGAAAGUGGAUGAGUCUCGGCACCGCGCAGCGGUGUCGAGGCUCCAUGCACGGGCCAUCCUGCUCCAGAUCAGGAAAGCUCUUAUUUGAGGUUGAGGCCUUUGGGGUGUAAUGUUUCUAAUUUUCUUAUCCAUGUCCUUUCAGCUCGGGUUCUCUGUGUGGCGUUCCAGCUGGGGUCCAUCUGGAUGAUCGUGGCCCGGACAGACGACCAUCCAUGGGCCAGAAAAUGGCUGACCAGAGGCGUGUGGUGGUAUCCAGGAAGUCGACCGACGUGGUGCUAGUGGUGGACUUCAGUGUGAUGGACGGGUUGUGAUUAUUCAAGGCUGCCAGGGCGGAGGUCUCCCAUUCGGCCAUGAAGAUGUUGGCAUAUGCCGGUGCAAAUUUUUUGCCCAUGGCAGUGCCUUUAAUUUGUAAAUAAAAUUUGUUGUCAAAUUCAAAAUCAUUUCUCCUCAGAUUGAUUGCAAGGAGUUGUAAUAGUUCCUUAUCAGGUCUCUUUUUGUCUGGAAAUUUUGAGAAUAUGUUUUUUAUGGCC